rnacentral:lncRNA from 1 species
UCCUUUCUAGAUCUUACCUAGACAAAUGUCUUUGGUCCCCUGAGAGCCUAUUACCCAAUAACUGGUAAUAUUCUUCUCAGUUUGUUUGUCAUUUUUUCCCAAUACCCGACAAAGAGCAACCCUUUUUCUCCCCAGCGGAUUCGUUUCCAUGUCUCCCAGGAAGUAUAUCCUUGAUAUGUUCAUCCUAACCGAUGACAGAUAUUUUCUUCCCUUGCUUGAGUCUAUCCUUGAUAUGUUCAUCUUAACUGGAGAUGGAUAUUCUC